UGGGGAAUAUUGCACAAUGGGCGCAAGCCUGAUGCAGCCAUGCCGCGUAUAUGAAGAAGGCCUUCGGGUUGUAAAGUACUUUCAGCGGGGAGGAAGGUGUUGAGGUUAAUAACCUCAGCAAUUGACGUUACCCGCAGAAGAAGCACCGGCUAACUCCGUGCCAGCAGCCGCGGUAAUACGGAGGGUGCAAGCGUUAAUCGGAAUUACUGGGCGUAAAGCGCACGCAGGCGGUCUGUCAAGUCGGAUGUGAAAUCCCCGGGCUCAACCUGGGAACUGCAUUCGAAACUGGCAGGCUAGAGUCUUGUAGAGGGGGGUAGAAUUCCAGGUGUAGCGGUGAAAUGCGUAGAGAUCUGGAGGAAUACCGGUGGCGAAGGCGGCCCCCUGGACAAAGACUGACGCUCAGGUGCGAAAGCGUGGGGAGCAAACAGG
rnacentral:rRNA from 1 species